GCCGAACUCUUUCUUCGUGCUUAACACAUGCAAGUCGAACGGAAAGGCCUCUUUCGGGGGGUACUCGAGUGGCGAACGGGUGAGUAACACGUGAGUAACCUGCCCUUGACUUUGGGAUAACUUCAGGAAACUGGGGCUAAUACCGGAUAGGAGCUCCUGCUGCAUGGUGGGGGUUGGAAAGUUUCGGCGGUUGGGGAUGGACUCGCGGCUUAUCAGCUUGUUGGUGGGGUAGUGGCUUACCAAGGCUUUGACGGGUAGCCGGCCUGAGAGGGUGACCGGCCACAUUGGGACUGAGAUACGGCCCAGACUCCUACGGGAGGCAGCAGUGGGGAAUAUUGCACAAUGGGUGGAAGCCUGAUGCAGCAACGCCGUGUGCGGGAUGACGGCCUUCGGGUUGUAAACCGCUUUCGCUCAUGACGAAGCUUUGUGUGACGGUAGUGGGUAAAGAAGCACCGGCUAACUACGUG
rnacentral:rRNA from 1 species